UACAGAGGGGGCAAGCGUUGUUCGGAAUUACUGGGCGUAAAGGGCGCGUAGGCGGCCUUCUAAGUCGAACGUGAAAUCCCCGGGCUCAACCCGGGAACUGCGUCCGAUACUGGAAGGCUUGAAUCCGAGAGAGGGAUGUGGAAUUCCAGGUGUAGCGGUGAAAUGCGUAGAUAUCUGGAGGAACACCGGUGGCGAAGGCGACAUCCUGGACCGGUAUUGACGCUGAGGCGCGAAAGCCAGGGGAGCAAACGGG
rnacentral:rRNA from 1 species